AACGAACGCUGGCGGCAGGCCUAACACAUGCAAGUCGAGCGGACCCUUCGGGGUUAGCGGCGGACGGGUGAGUAACGCGUGGGAAUAUGCCCUUCUCUACGGAAUAGUCCUGGGAAACUGGGGGUAAUACCGUAUACGCCCUUUGGGGGAAAGGUUUAUCGGGGAAGGAUUAGCCCGCGUUGGAUUAGGUAGUUGGUGGGGUAAUGGCCUACCAAGCCGACGAUCCAUAGCUGGUUUGAGAGGAUGAUCAGCCACACUGGGACUGAGACACGGCCCAGACUCCUACGGGAGGCAGCAGUGGGGAAUCUUAGACAAUGGGGGCAACCCUGAUCUAGCCAUGCCGCGCGAGUGAUGAAGGCCUUAGGGUUGUAAAGCUCUUUCAGCUGGGAAGAUAAUGACGGUACCAGCAGAAGAAGCCCCGGCUAACUCCGUG
rnacentral:rRNA from 1 species